UGCAAAAGUUGAUGUAAUCAACUGGACGGCCAAAACGAGGUGCGUCUUUGAGGUCAAAAUUUCAAUUUUUGAACUAGGCAUACCAAUCACAAGCAGUUCUUUCAGUUAUAGCACCCUCUCCAUACACAGCACAAAUGUCGCGAGCAGCUUUUGCGGCCUUAGAACCUUGAUUAAAAGCAAAAAGAAAGGAGGUGUCGAAAAUGGUCGUUUUGCUUAACUUGACAUUCCAUUUUA